rnacentral:rRNA from 1 species
GACGAACGCUGGCGGCGUGCUUAACACAUGCAAGUCGAACGGAAAGGCCCUGCUUUUGUGGGGUGCUCGAGUGGCGAACGGGUGAGUAACACGUGAGUAACCUGCCCUUGACUUUGGGAUAACUUCAGGAAACUGGGGCUAAUACCGGAUAGGAGCUCCUGCUGCAUGGUGGGGGUUGGAAAGUUUCGGCGGUUGGGGAUGGACUCGCGGCUUAUCAGCUUGUUGGUGGGGUAGUGGCUUACCAAGGCUUUGACGGGUAGCCGGCCUGAGAGGGUGACCGGCCACAUUGGGACUGAGAUACGGCCCAGACUCCUACGGGAGGCAGCAGUGGGGAAUAUUGCACAGUGGGCGGAAGCCUGAUGCAGCAACGCCGCGUUCGGGAUGACGGCCUUCGGGUUGUAAACCGCUUUCGCCUGUGACGAAGCGUGAGUGACGGUAAUGGGUAAAGAAGCACCGGCUAACUACGUG